AGAGUUUGAUCCUGGCUCAGGAUGAACGCUAGCGGCAGGCCUAAUACAUGCAAGUCGAGCGGCAAGUUGGGUAGUAAUACUUAACCUAGAGCGGCGCACGGGUGCGUAACGCGUAUGCAACCUACCUUUUACUGGGGGAUAGCCCGGAGAAAUCUGGAUUAAUACCCCAUGGUAUCUACGAAUCGAUUGGUUUGUAGCUUAAAGAUUUAUCGGUAAAAGAUGGGCAUGCGUCUGAUUAGCUAGUUGGCGGGGUAACGGCCCACCAAGGCGACGAUCAGUAGGGGUUCUGAGAGGAAGGUCCCCCACACUGGCACUGAGAUACGGGCCAGACUCCUACGGGAGGCAGCAGUAGGGAAUAUUGGGCAAUGGUCGCAAGACUGACCCAGCCAUGCCGCGUGCAGGAAGACGGCCCUCUGGGUUGUAAACUGCUUUUAUCUGGGAAGAAAAAGUCCAUGCGUGGAAAAUUGCCGGUACCAGAUGAAUAAGCACCGGCUAACUCCGUGCCAGCAGCCGCGGUAAUACGGAGGGUGCAAGCGUUGUCCGGAUUUAUUGGGUUUAAAGGGUGCGUAGGCGGCUGAAUAAGUCAGCGGUGAAAGACUUCGG
rnacentral:rRNA from 1 species